GUUUUGGAGCAUUAUCUGGAUUUUGGAGUUUUGGAGCAUCACCUCGAGUUUUGAAGCAUUACCUGGACUUUGGAGUUUUUGGAGCGUCACCUGGAUUUUGGAGUUUUGAAGCAUUAUCUGGAUUUUGGAGUUUUGGAGCUUUGGAGCAUCACCUGGAUUUUGGAGUAGUUUUGGAGCAUCACCUGGAGUUUGGAGCAUUAUCUGGAUUUUGGAGUAGUUUUGGAGCAUCACCUGGAGUUUGGAGCAUUACCUGGACUUUGGAGUUUUGGAGCAUCACCUGGAUUUUGGAGUUUUGAAGCAUUAUCUGGAUUUUGGAGUUCUGGAGCUUUGGAGCAUCACCUGGAUUUUGGAGUUUUGGAGCAUCAUGUGGAGUUUUGGAGUUUUGGAGCAUCACCUGGAUUUUGGAAUUUUGGAGCAUCACCUGGAGUUUGCAGAUGGGAAAAGAGCUCCAGCAAGAGGGAAGGGGAGAAUGCAAGGGAAAACAGCCUGAAAGCAGAACCAGGGUGUGCCCAGUGAUGAUCCAGGGGAGGAAAUCACACCUUGGAGGAGCCAAGUGGGGCCCAAGGAAAGAUCCUGUGCCAUGAAAUCCCAGCAGGGAUCCCAGGAUGUCAAAGGGAAGGGAGCUGUGCUGGCCAGGCCCAAGGGAUCCUUCAGGCAGCACCAGGAGGAGAGCCCAGCCCCAGGGAUGAACACAGUGUCAGCCUGCCUGCUGCCCAGACAAAAUUUGAAUUUCCAGGCAGUUUGUCCCAUGCAGAGGCCAUCACCUGCAGUAAAUAAAGCAGCUUUCCUGAGCAGAGAGCAGGUUGUGAUGGAUGGAGUGUCAGCUGUCGCUGCAGCCACGGCCCAAGUGUUGGAAAUGCCAUUAUGGCAGUGCUCAUAAAAGCUCAGCAGGGCUGGGAAACUCUGCCUGCUGCUGCUGCUGUGCCUUCUUUCUGCACACUGGGCCUGCUCUGCUGCAAAACACAUAAAGAGGUGCCUUAAUAGGAAAACAGGUUUUUUGGUACACACAGAAAUGUUUGUGCAGCAGGGCUGGAUGUGCAGAGUCCGUUUCCUCACAGGAGCUGAAGUGGUGGAUAAGGCACAGAGUCCAGGUGCAGAGCUGAGGCAGAAAUAGCCCUGGAAGUGCUCGUGUGAGACAGAGGAACCAGUGGAGAGAACAAAUCCCUG
rnacentral:lncRNA from 1 species